rnacentral:rRNA from 1 species
UGGGGAAUAUUGGACAAUGGGCGCAAGCCUGAUCCAGCCAUGCCGCGUGAGUGACGAAGGUCUUCGGAUUGUAAAGCUCUUUUGGCGGGGAAGAUAAUGACGGUACCCGCAGAAUAAGCCUCGGCUAACUUCGUGCCAGCAGCCGCGGUAAUACGAAGGGGGCUAGCGUUGUUCGGAAUCACUGGGCGUAAAGCGCACGUAGGCGGAUGUGCCAGUCAGGGGUGAAAUCCCGGAGCUCAACUUCGGAACUGCCUCUGAUACAGCACGUCUUGAGUCCGGAAGAGGUGGGUGGAAUUCCUAGUGUAGAGGUGAAAUUCGUAGAUAUUAGGAAGAACACCGGUGGCGAAGGCGGCCCACUGGUCCGGUACUGACGCUGAGGUGCGAAGGCGUGGGGAGCAA